UCCUACACACACUACUUGCUAACUGAAUGCAAAUAGCCCUAAAGCAGCAUUAAGGGCCUUCUGGGUGUGCCAGGCUGUCUGACUAUAGAGCUAGAGUGUGCUGGCAUGGCAGGGGUUACUGUCACCCCUCCCUCCUCACAUUAUUCAUCAUUCCUUCUAGGAACUGAUAUAAAUAAUUGAUUCUGUAACCAGAUUUUAAUUUCUUGACAGCUUAAAAUACCCUGGAGACAGCGUUUGUUCAAUAUGGGAGACUGUGCCUGAGUCCAGAGAAGACAUGUGGCCCAGAAGUAUGGAAGACUCUUUAUUGCCCAUGGUUCACACCACUCAGACUCUAGUUAAGACCAGAGGCAGAAUCUAUGCCUUUAGUAACUGGUCACUUUCUUAGCUCGUCCAGUCUCAGGGGAGGAAAAGUUAAAUUAGUUGCCAUGGGAAAAUUCCAGGAAAAAACUUACAUUAAAACCGACCUGGGACCCGCAACCUGCAUGCUUACCCGACCGGCUACCCGACCCACAAGUACCUAAUCUGCAACCCGAUCCACGACCAUCAAGAAUCAGGAAGUGCUGUUAUUGUACACUGGAAGUGACAUCAUCAGAAGUAGGCAUGAUCAGAAAAAAGGAGUAACACGGCCUGACCCGCGACCCACGUCUAUACCCGCCCCCGACACUUCUACCCUCAACCCGCAGGUUACCCACUUUUUUGCAGGUAACCCGUGGGUACCCGACCCGCUGCAGUACUCUAAGCACUCCUGGUACCCACAGAGGUUAGUGUUCAUACACUGUAUUUGAUGCCAGCUAGAAAUUACAGAUUUUCUCUUAUGUAAAUUCUAGUUUAAUAACAGCGGGAUUGCUGCAGGUUGGUCAUCCCAGAUUUAAGAAAAUUGAAGUCCUCAGCCUUCCUUCAUUUCAAACUGUAGCUCUGCCUGUGGAUAUGCAGCCCUCACAUCUGACUUUGCUUAU